rnacentral:lncRNA from 1 species
CCUGAUUCCUCACUAGAAGCUGUGCUGGUGCCUCUCGUUUCUCAGUGUCACUCCUGUUUAGGCUUGUAGCUGUCAGGGAACCUCACAGGUGGAAAGUUACAGACAUUCCGGGGCCUGCCAUAAAGCACACCCACUCUCCCCACAGGGAGAUGAGGAAUUUCCCGGCUACAGGGUCCGGAUCAGUGUGUACGGAACAGGAUAGGUGGGUUGAGAAAAAUUUGCUUUCAUAUGUCUCUGGAAAUCUGGAAAGGGUGAGUGUCUCACUAAGGAGGCGUGUUUUCUAUCUUGGUCAUCUCUGUCAUAUCUGUCUGUUUGUUGGGCCUUGGGGCAGGGGAAAGGGAUGGGAGUCCGAAGGCUCUGGAUUUGCUUGCUCAUUUCCUAAAUAGCCAGGAAAAACCAUCAGCUGGAAGAAAACCAACAUGGCUCCUAGAAAAGCUGUCUGCUUGAUUCCACGGACAGGGUUCUUGAAGACACAACUAAAUGAAAAUGGAUGAAAUCAGAAUGGAGCCUAAUCCGAGGUGACUGCUGUCUUUGUGAGAACAGGGAAGGAACACACAGGAAGGCUCCAGGGGUGCGUGUGAGGACAGAGCAAGGAGGUGGCCUGUCUGCCAGCCAAGGAAAAGAAACCAGCCCUGCUGACAACCGGCCCUCAGACUGCCAGCCCAGUGGGAAAACUCAUUCUGUUAUCUAAGCCACUCUGUCUGCAACGAUUGGUUAUGGCGGCCCUAAAAAAUGAGUACAUUUUCCGUCUUUGUACUGUAAAGUUGUUGUUGUUUAAUAGAUUGUCUCUUUUCUUGGGUUUAAGGAAUAUCUUCAAAAAGAGCUUGUUUUAUUGAUGAACUUGGUGUAUUAGGAACCAUCUCGGGAGGCUCUUGGCAAACACAGAAGGGGAUGAACGAGAGCACAUGCCUACCCGCUGUACAGAUCUCGCAACUGCAGAGAUAAUUGGAGAAGAUAGAUCUAUCUGCAAAGACACAAAAGGCAGAUCUCUGGAAUGGACAAGGAAGGUAUCUUCGAUCGAAGCUGUGGGAGGAGCUUUGGACUUGGCUAAGAGCCAGAGCCCUGUAGAGGGAGCGCCAGAGAGCCACUGCGAAGACCCCAGGGGACCAGGAUGCAGCUAAGUCACCUGGAUGCGGAGAAGCUUCUGGGUCCCCACUCUACCUCGCAUCUCUUCUAGAAGGUGCCAGCUGGUGGCUAUGCUUGCACUGGAGCCUUUGCAUAGCCUACGUGGCUGUCAGUGAGGCCACAGGGCCAUUGCAGGCAAUAGUCCAGCUGCACCCCAAGAGAUAGCCUAGAACCAAAGCAUUUCCCACAGCAUUCCUAGAAACUACUUAUGCGUGUCACUCAGAAAACCCAAAUCCUAUCAUUUCUUAGAUGUCAGCUGUGCAGAUACGUCUCUCAACGUUAGAUUGUCUGUUGGAAAAUAUAACUGGAUACCAGAAGUGUCAGAAACCUGGUUCAUACCACUCUUCACAAGGGGAGGCCUGCAAAAACACAGGCAGGAAGGAAUCACCCACUGCUGCAGCCAUGGGCCUGUCAGGCUCGCUCUUAAUUCCUGCCCAGGGCUUGCUCUCUAAAGCCGUGCUGGCUCUGCCUCCAUUUCCCACUUCAUCCAGAGCAAACAUGGCUUCCCGUGCUUGUCCUGGUACCACGAUGCCAUAGCGUCCCCUCAGCCCACUUCCAGAUAAGGGGGCCAUCUGACAAAGAAAGGUCAGGCCGGCUUUGCAUCUAGACUAGCAAGGCUCUUGUUUGUAUGUUGAGGGCACGAAUCUGUAAGUCCUGAGUUUAUUUUGUCCCCAUCUGUGUUGAUUUUUAAAUGGCCUCAUAGGCUCACAGGGAGUGAGUGGCACUAUUACAAGGUGUGGCCUUGUUGCAGGAAGUGGUCACUGGAAUGAGGGUUAGGGAGGGGGCGCUUUGAGGUUUCAGGAGCUCAAGCCAGGCCUGGGAUCACUCUUUCUUUCUCCUUCCUGCCAAUCCAGAUGUAGAAGUCUCGGCUACUUCCCAGUACUGUGUCUGCCUGCACGCUGCCAUGUUUCCUGCUAUGAUGACAGUGGACUAAACCAACUCCAA